UUCUAAGCCACGGGGCUAGCCCUUUAGACCUUUUCAUUUCAUUCAAGCAAAGUAAGAUUCCAGGUCAUUAAUUUGGACUUGAACAUAGCUUCUAACGGAGCGAGCCACUGUCUUUUCGGGCCGUUGUGAAUGACAUUCGAUUGACUGGCCGCAUGGUGGACCUGGCUCACUCUCAACUGUACUAGUCUACUUGCUACUUAUGGCGUAGUUGAUACUAGACUACUAAUCAGGUUCCUUUUUUGUACGGACUUCGGAGGUACUUGGAGGUACGGUUGAUCCCGGGUGCCUGCAACCGAGCUGUCAAGACAAUUCAACAACCCUGGCCAUGGAAAUGAUUUCUAAUGCUUUUGAUCUGACACGCGGGGACAGCGAGACAUGUCCGGAGCUAAAGGCCGAGCUCGGAUAGUUUAAUAUCACCAAAUUCUGUGUAUUCCGUCAAUUGACCGUUUGCCGCAGUUGCCUAUGCAUAUUGGAUUGCUUUCUCGACCAGCUAAAGCUGAGGCCUUUCGGUGGGGGAGAUAAUGGUAACCUGUUUUAUAGUCAGUAUCUAUCUAGUCACGAUUCGCUAAGUCAUGCGCAACAUCGUCUGAUUCAAAACUUUUAUACGAGCAAUUCCCAUCGUUCAUUGGUGUAAUUAGUCUUUGACCUAAAUUACCUCGUUGGUUGACAGAGUCUCGACUGUACACUACUCCCCUUCUGGAAUAUCUACAUUGGCUUUCCAGGAUGAAUGCAUUGAUGACCGAUCCGGCCCGUCAGACUAAUACUCGUUUGUUCGUUGGUAUCUUGGUACAUUAACUGAUACGAAGUCGAUUGAGCAUUGGGGGGCACAUAAUCUGGCCCGCCUCGAGCAUCCUGCUUGCGUCGUGGAAUCUAGGUUGUUCGGUUCAGGGAGCCGAUCAUGAUGGAUGUUGCAGGAUAUGUAAUGAUCUCUGUCAUUUCAUAUCAGUCUCGAUUAUAGCUUAACAACAGUGCGUCAUUCAGGAGGUUCAAUUUGGUUUUUCUGUUGGAUCAUCAAUAUGAUUGUCGUGGAGUCCGUGUGUAAGCGGGCACAAGA
rnacentral:lncRNA from 1 species